GAUGAACGCUGGCGGCGUGCUUAACACAUGCAAGUCGAACGGAAAGGCUCCUGCUUGCAGGGGUACUCGAGUGGCGAACGGGUGAGUAACACGUGGGUGAUCUGCCCUGCACUUCGGGAUAAGCCUGGGAAACUGGGUCUAAUACCGGAUAGGACGAUGGUUUGGAUGCAAUUGUGGAAAGUUUUUCGGUGUGGGAUGAGCUCGCGGCCUAUCAGCUUGUUGGUGGGGUAAUGGCCUACCAAGGCGUCGACGGGUAGCCGGCCUGAGAGGGUGUACGGCCACAUUGGGACUGAGAUACGGCCCAGACUCCUACGGGAGGCAGCAGUGGAGAAUAUUGCACAAUGGGCGCGAGCCUGAUGCAGCGACGCCGCGUGGGGGAUGACGGCCUUCGGGUUGUAAACUCCUUUCGCUAGGGACGAAGCGCAAGUGACGGUACCUGGAGAAGAAGCACCGGCUAACUACGUG
rnacentral:rRNA from 1 species